UUUGAUCAACGCCUCACGCAAGGCCCGGAAGGAAGCGCGGGCCGCACGGCUGCGCUGGGAGGCCU
rnacentral:SRP_RNA from 15 species